rnacentral:rRNA from 1 species
GACGAACGCUGGCGGCGUGCUUAACACAUGCAAGUCGAACGGGCCUUGUCCCCUUUUUUUUUGGGGGUGGGGUUAGUGGCGAACGGGUGAGUAACACGUGAGUAACCUGCCCCUCACUUCUGGAUAACCGCUUGAAAGGGUGGCUAAUACGGGGUGUUCUGGCCUGCUCGCAUGGGUGGGUUUGGAAAGAUUCGACCGGUUUUGGUUGUUUUGGUGGGGGAUGGGCUCGCGGCCUAUCAGCUUGUUGGUGGGGUGAUGGCCUGCCAAGGCUUUGACGGGUAGCCGGCCUGAGAGGGUGGGCGGUCACACUGGGACUGAGACACGGCCCAGACUCCUACGGGAGGCAGCAGUGGGGAAUAUUGCACAAGGGGCGCAAGCCUGAUGCAGCGACGCCGCGUGAGGGAUGGAGGCCUUCGGGUUGGGAACCUCUUUCGCCAGUGAAGAAGGUCCUGCUCUUUGUGGUGGGGUUGACGGUAGCUGGGUUAAUGAAGCGCCGGCUAACUACGUG